ensembl:lncRNA
GUAUCUUUAGGACAUUUUGGUAUCUCCAUCCAUCGGAUCAGGCCAUCUAAGAAAAGGCUGUGUCACACAGAGGGUGCUUCUAGACAAAGCUCCUAGACAAGUCUCCAGUCUCCCCAGCAGCUUGCCUUCCCAGCUCCUCCCAGCUGGGGCUCUGAAAUCCGCUGGGCCCUUCUGGAUCCUAGGAGUCCACUGUACCAUCUGGCUUGAUAGGUCCCAGGUCAGAAACUCUGCUUCAAUAGCUUGUCCAUUCCUUGUUGGAGAGAUUAAAGGACUUCACCUGUACCUUUUCCAAUACAGACUGACAAAUAUUCCUAGGUAGAAGCCACAAGGAGUGGGGCCGUGGCCGGGGCAGGGGGGGGUUGGCUAAUAAUGUUUUAUGAUAAAGGGUAGCAUAUUGUCACAAAGAAGGAAAAGAUACUAAUCCUGGAAAUAAGGUCAUACAAACAAUAAGUAUCCAUGGAACACCAGUCAUGGGCACUAAUUUCAAAUCUGUGAGAUACGAUCCUGUUGUUCUCUUAGUAUGUAUGUUUCAGCACUGCUUUUGAGAUUGGGGGGGCGUGGUCUUUGGUUGUUCAGCUGCUCUAGAACUUGCUACAUAACUGAAGAUAACCUUACAAUCUUCAUCUUCCUGCUUCCUCCUUUUAGUUUACAUGGUGCUGGAAUCAAACCCGGGCUUUGUGCAUGCCAGUCAAGAGCCCUCCUAACUAAACCAUAUCCCCAGCAUCUAAGAUCUGCAUUUCUAUAGGGCUAUACUUACAGUUGAGAGCUUCCUCCCCUCGCCCCAAUUAUGUUCAGAAGGAACAAAAUAAUUUAGGUUCAAGCUCUCCCAGCCUGUAGGUUUUUCUGGGUCCACCUUGUCAGAUGGAUCUGGUUACAAGUGUCGACAUCGGUUUAGCUAACCUAACUUUUAAAGGGAUUUAGCAGGGACUUCAUCUCCACCUGGAGUCCAGACCACACUUGGAAAAAGGCAUCUCCAGAGGAGCAGAAAGCAAGUGUCUGCAAAGGCACAGCUAGAGGGUCUACCAGCUCUUAGGGACUUCUGCCUGUGAAUCACUGUACUCUAGACAGGGAAUUGUGGGGAAGGAGUCUGAGCUGCCAUCUUUGGUUGAGGGAGGGCAGGGCACCUUGACCUACAGUCCUGCUAAAUUUAAUUGCUCCCUAGGGAGUGGACAUGUCCCUGGAUGCAGAUAAAAUAGAAACCAGUGUCCUCACAGCAGCUCUUAUGGUGGCUGAGGGAAUUGCCCAUCCCCACAAAGGAGAUUGAAACAGGGCAUACUGUGACUCUGAGGUGGGAUAGCAUAUUCUAGAAAAGAAGAUUAUGGCUAGUGUGAGAAAAGAAGCAAGGUACAGACAUGUGUUAAGGAAUGAACAUUUAGAGAAACAACAUGGUCCCCCCCCCCACACACACAGUGGUUGUAGCACUACCCAUGGGCUAAUGGGAUGCUUCCCAGUCCAAUGUGGAUCCAAGGUAGGGGGCAGACUUCCUGUCAAGGGCUACCUAUUAAAUUCUUUAGGUUUUAUAAACCAUAUAAUCCCUGUUGCAACUCUUCAACUCCACCAUGGGAGUGUGUAAACUCCCUCAGGCAUACAGUCAUAGAUGACUGUGUGGUGUGGCUGUGGUCCAGUAAGACUUUAUUUAUAAGAACAGGCAGUGGUGGAAUUUGGCCAAGAGGCUUGACCUUGUUGAGCUCUGGUCUGGGAAGGUGUUUUUUUUUCCCCCUGCUAUAGCUUGGUGAGCCUGUUCCAGGAACGUAGCAUAUGGAAAUUUUGGAUGCGAAGAGAAUGGUCGUUGCUGAGAAAAUAGUCUGAUCUGCUCCAGAAGGCUGCAUGCCAUGACUGGGAGGGGUGAUCUGCAAGAUGGCAUCUUCACAGGACUUCAGGCCCAGGGACUGACAUCAGGGGAUACCCAGGACAACCUCCCAGAGCCAGAACCAAGAUAGAGGUCCUCGCUUUCCUGACUUCUGGGCAUGCCAGGCUGCGUGGAUGGAGUGCUUCUCUUACCUCUUCUGAUGCAAUGUGACCGGUCGUCUCCUGCCACCCUGUCUUCCCCACCACGGUGGACUGCACCCUGAGACUGUGUUUGCUAUCAAGUUGGAGUCCCGUGAUGCUGGAGGAUGAACACAGGGUUUUGUAUGUGCGUGCUAAGACCACCAACCGAUCAACCUCCCAGCCCUGUGAUUAUUUUAGAGUAGAAAUAUUACUGUCAUAGCAGCAUUAGUAUGCGCGUCUCUACUCCUCAUCUGAGAAUGGCCUGGGUGCUGAUGAGGGUGUGGCCUGGCCAAGCUCCUUUUUGUCAGAGCCAUUUCCUGUGCAGUCUGUGCGGCUUCUACCAUCUUGCUCCUCUGUUCCGAUUUGCGGUUUCCUGGGCCUCGCGUUCCUCCCUGUCGAGGACCACAAUUAACCAGCGUGCUUUGAGUCUUCUGAUGAGGACCACAUUAACCAGGCUGCUUUGCCACUUCUGACGUUGUAUUGGGUUAGCACGCUGAGCCUGCUCUUUGGCCUCAGAACCCUAAAACACUACCUUGUUGGCUUCUCUCUGUUGUUCCAAAGUCUUCAGUGGCUCCCUAUGAACCUCUGAUACCCCAUCCAAAUUGCCAACUUCAUCUUCGAGUACUCUUUUUCACCCUCCAUGGUUUAGACUCAUGGACUUCUUCUCCAAGCCCAUCAGGUAACUUCUUAGUUUCUUGCUCUUCUCUGUCUUUGCCAGCCCAGCUUCCCCAAGUGUCUUGAAAAUACCCGACAGUUUCCAGUCUUUGCUCAUUCUGGCUCCCUGUGUGGAAUGCCUUCCUCCACACUGCCGACGUUUUUCCUUGCUCUAAACACCCCUGACCUUAUGACUACAUCCUCCGUAGAUCUCCCCCCCCCCGCCCCCAGGCUUUAGCAACUUGCAUUUAUUCAAGAACCCUGCACUAUUUUGUGAUGUUCUGUGCGAGUUCCCCGAUUUAUCAGAGGAUUAUCAGAGGAGGUUUUGUCCCAGGACGAAGCUCUUGUGAGCUCUGUGGUGAAGAGCCGUGUUACUCGGAGGAGGGCUUUUCACGGCUCACAAAACGAAGAGGGAGGAGGCCAGCAAAGAGUCUGAUCGAGUAAUUUGUGCCAGGACAAACUUAAAGAAAACAGAAACGAGAGGAGAGAACGCAUCUGCAAACUAUCUGGAGGAGCAAAACAGCAGGAUCUGGUCCAACAGAUGACAUAGGAGAGCCAGAAAUAAGUUCUGAGGUUUCUGGUCCGCUGAAGAUGGAAAGACUGGUGGAUAACUGGGAAUGUGGAUGCAAGACAGUUUUGCUUUGUACUUGAGCUUCAGAAGAUGGAGAGAUAAUUAAGAGCUGAGGACUCGGAGUUCUGAGUCUUCUGGGGGACGGGCAUUGAAUGAAGGGAGAAUAAAGACUGCAUUAAGAAGCUGGGCGGUCGUGCUGCACUCCUUUAAUCCCAGCACUCAGGAGGCAGAGGCAGGCAGAUCUCUGUAAAUUUGAGGCCAGCCUGGUCUAUAGAGCAAGUUCCAGGACAGCCUCCAAAGCUUACAGAAAAAUCCAUCAAAAACAAAAAACAAACAAACAAACAAAAAAAAAACAAGCAAAAACUUCAUAAAGAACAAAGUCCUGAAGGGCUACCACCAAGGAGAGAAGACCUGGGAGAGGGUAGGAUGGGGCUGGAUGUAGAGAACACAGUGCUGUGGAAAUCAUUGAGACAGCUUGAAGGCUGGAUAGUGUGAAUGAGUCAUCGACUAUCUGUGAAGAGUGAAGAGUAGCAAACAGUGGAGUCAUAGCAGAGCCUGGGAGGGGAUGGAGACCUGUGUAGAGAGGGGCUUUAAAAGGUUGCUGGAAACCAACCUGUGGGCCAAGUGGCAGCAAGAAACAGCCCAGAGAGAAAAGCGGUUUAGUAACAGAACCAUACUAGUAGAAACUCAUGGUUUAAAUCAAAGAGGACUGAGUGUCAGCUCUCUGAAAAAUAUCUAUUUGGACAUACAUGGACUUCCACCUCUUAGCACAGAACAGAUAUCAUUGAGGUGGCCUGGGAUGCUUGUUGGGCCCUGGCCUCGGCACCCCCUGUUUGAAUCAGACAUCAGCUCAGAACUGAACUCAGGUCUCCUCCAAGAGUUGCAAGUGCUCUUAACCAUUGAGCCAUCUCUUUGGCCCUAAAUUAUCUUUUUCUUUUUUCAUUUUCUUUGAAUUUGUUUUAAAUAUGAGUUAACUAUUUAAAUUUUUUUUUUUUUGAGACAGGAUAUCACUCUAAGAUCCUGGCUGUCCUGGAACUCACCAUGUUGACCAAGCCAACAUCAAAUUUACAGAAAUUCAACUGCCUCUGCCUCCCGAGUGCUGGGAUUAAAGAUGUGUGCCAAUAAGCCCACCCUUACUUCAUUUUCAUACAGCCUGGGGAUAGUGCUCCCCGUAAUGGAACACUUGAGUCUUCCAAACUCAACUGACCUAAUCAAGACAGUCUCCCACGGCAUGCCUGGAGAUUGUCCUCCUAGGCCAUUCUAGUUUUCAUCCAGUUGACAAUGGAGAUUAAUCCUCACAAUUUGUAAGGGUUGAGGGAGAUCACCUAUAUUGAGAACACAUGAUAAAGUGCUCAAUAAACCAAUGUCAUUUUUUUGCCAUCAUGAGGACUCGCUGCUAAAUUCGUGACCUCAAGAGCUCCCCGAUGCUAUUAGUUAGGUGUCCUUUGAGUCUGUCUGUUGCUAGGUACAAUUUCUCAGGGUUAGUAAGUAAAAAUGUAGAUUGCCCAGGUGAGUUUGAAUUUUAGAUAAUACAU